GGCUGCCCAGGGCAGUGCUGGAGUCACCAGCCCUGGAGGGUUGGACAGAUGAGGUUCUUAUGGACACGGUUUAGCGACAGAUUUAGGUCACGGUUCAACUCAAUGAUCUUGAUGUUCCCUUCCAACCCAAAUGAUUCUAUGGUUCUAUUCCCUGCUCCCUCCAGGGAAGAGGCAGCAGGACUAAGUCACUUUGUGGGAAGCCUGUAACCCCACUUAGCGCUCAGGCCCUCUCUGGUCAGAGACAAGGGGACGGGUGGGUGAGGGUGAACCCCCUCAGGCCCUGGGGAAUGGCAUUAAUCUCCAGAGAGGAAGAACAGGUUAAAGCUGUCCCUGCUCCUCCUUUCUGAUUAUCUCCGUGCAGAUUUAUGGCUGGCUUUUGAAGUGCUUCAGCCUGUGACUUGUAUGGGUUUUGCAUUCCACUCCAUGGGUCACCUGCCUAAAAUUCAGCCUUCACCUGAGGUCUGUAUUGCAUCUGGCCGUGAAAAUGCGAACUGCUUGUGCGGGACGGGCUUACAGCGACGUGUAUCUAGGCAGGGUGCUCUGGAGGAGGAGGAGGCGAGGGCUGUGCUGGGUGCGUGACUUCCACACCAGGCUCUUGGGCGCUGUUCUAUCUGCAGUCACUCCAACAGGUCUAACAGAUUGUGCUGCAUUCCUCGGCCGCGGGCAGCGGACCCUCCCUGCUGACACGGUGCUCCGGGACGCCUCGCUGUGCAUCACCUCUCGAGACGAUGUCAAACCACUGGAGCUGACAGUAAUUUAAUUGCCGUGCUGCACAGUAACGAGGCAUUAAUAGAUUGAACCCCUGGUGAUGUCAGUCUGUGUCAUGCUGGGUGUUGAGGGUUCUGCUGAUCCAGAAACACAUCGUCAGUUCUGAGCUCUCCCAGUAAGAAGUCAGCGUCUGCGACCGAACAAACCCACAAAUGCUGAGAUUUUACACGGCGUUGGUCGUGGGAUUCUGCUGGUCAGAAACAGAAGCAGGAGACGAUGGAUAGUCCAGACACACAGUUUGUUCAAUGCAUGUUGGCUGGAGCAACAUGGGGUGGCCACAUCAGGAACACAGGUUCUUACUGUGAUAAUGUGUAUUUAAAAACCUUCUUUAUGCUUUUAAUAGUCACUCUGAGAUACGUCUCGUGGAUACAUUUACGUGUAACUCAAGGUAUUAGGAGCCUAAAUUUGGAAUCCAGAGUGACAGACUCAUUUUUCCCUACCAUGCUCCAUCUCCAAGGGGCUCCAGUUGACGUCAAGUGCCUCUGAAUUAAAAGGUGCUCAAAAUUCUGGCAGAAUCGGAUCAAAUUUUUGCCAAGCAUACAUAUUUUAUUAGUGUAACUUGCAUAAUAGUACUACUGCAAGCUUAUGAGUCAUUCCCCAAACUUACAAAAUAAAGUUCAAGAUCUCUUGUGUAAUUGCAUUUUUACCUAGGGUAGUUAAAAAAAAAAUCAGUCUAAAAGUAAGGAUAAAAACCAGUUGGGCAAGCUGCUUGUUUAAUCUCUUUCCUCCUCUUCCUCUGGUCUACCAAGGAACUAACCAGGAGUUUUCUUUCUGUUCUCUUCCUCCCCAAACCAAAACUGUCAGGAUUUACGUAUUUUUUAAUCUGAUGCACAGAGUCCCACCCUGUUUUAACACAUGAACAUUAACAGAGAUGGACAAGUACAUUUAAUUUCUUCUUCUACUGUUUUUGUUCGCUAAGCAUUCGGUAAAUGUUGUGGUGAUUCUGUUUGUUGAUAAAAGCAAAUAGUUUGAUAACAUCCCUGCUAUAUAAAUCAAUAAUCCAAAUCCUUAUUGUUGAAAAGAAAGGUUUCUUGCUGUAUAUAUCAAUAGCCGUAUUUUUAUAUGUGUUAUAAAUAUGUUCUCUUUUAUCAUAUAAUUGAUAUGUCCUCUGCUUGUUUAGUGUGGUUUGGAGAUGUCCUGCUGGACUCCGCUCCACUGCUGAAUGAAAUGUCCUUUCCACAGACACAAACACCGAGCUUUGUCACCAACCAAGAGAAAACUGGAGUUUUCCGUGGGUUUUGUUGUUUUGUAAAUCCCUAAAUACUGCGGUGGGAUUUCACCGCAAAAGUAACUUUGGCAGAUCCCAGAUGGAGGGAGGACAGGUCGUGACUGCGAGCGGGGUCCAAACGGAGACGCAGCGGGGGAGCGAGGCGUGAGCGCCGCGAGUGCCAAACAUCGCAGCUAUGCGGGAGCGCCGGCCCGCC